rnacentral:snRNA from 1 species
GGAUGUGAGGGCAAUCUUGGUCUGGCAUCUGUCAUCUCAUUGAUUGCUAGGAUUAACUCAGCUGAUCUGGCUGGCUAGGCAGGUGUUUUCUUCCUCUCUCAUUGCUUCAUGUGCAUCUCCCUCACCACUACCACCACCAAAAUUACGUGGUCAAUGGAAGAGAAUGCCUUUCUCUAACAGAGGAGGAUAAUUCUUCAGCCAAGGUCUAUGAGUAGCUGCACUCCCCUUCUAGAACUUCUAAAACAAGCUCUUAAGGUCCAUUUGUAGCACAGUGUAGUGUAGUUAAGCUUGCAUUGACAUAGUCAAAUGAGGUGCUAUAUGUAGCAGUCUGUCUAUUCUU